GUCCAAAAGAAAGGUGAAUUAUUAUGUGGAUUAUUAUAAUUAACGACAAUGGGGAAAUCAAGACUGAAAUUUCUAAGUGGAAAUUACAAACUUCAGAAGCGUUUUCAAACCUCAAGUACACUACAGUUCCACUGCUGGGUUUUUCCAUACUGACACCAACAAUAAAAGCGGCCUGCAUCCUUAGGGGUGUGUGUGACUUCACAGGGGUGUGUGAUGGAGGGGUGGCCUCUGUAAGCCUCUCUGCCAACCUCAUAUAAACCCAUGCACACCCACACCACACACCCAUCCAAACACACUCUCUCACACACACACUCCGGCCGAGUACAGAACACACACAGAGAUGGACUUUCUGAAAGGAUCUGGGAAGCAGGUGGAUGCAGUGAUCGACAAAGCAGCUGUUGUGGUGAAGGAGAAGGUGGGAGAGAUGAUCGGAGGAGGAGCUAAGGAGGAGAAGAAAGAUGAAGGUAUUGGUGGCAUGGUGUCUAAUGCCGUGAAAGGGGCUGCAGCAGAUGCAGCUAUGGACAGUGCUGCAGACAAGGCCAUGUCUUUCGGAAAGAGCCUUUUCAACUGAAUCCCCAAACAUGGACUGAACCAUGUCUCAACCCUGGACUGUACCAUGUCUCAACCCCGGACUGUACCAUGUCUCAACCCCGGACCGUCCUUCCCAUCAACCAAUCCCAUCUUUAUACUAUUACUGAGAUCUGUAUAAUGUUUAUAGGAUGUCAUAAACAUGAAUAAAACACCAAUCUUUCAA
rnacentral:lncRNA from 1 species